AGAGCGAACGCUGGCGGCAGGCUUAACACAUGCAAGUCGAGCGGGCGUAGCAAUACGUCAGCGGCAGACGGGUGAGUAACGCGUGGGAACGUACCUUUUGGUUCGGAACAACCCAGGGAAACUUGGGCUAAUACCGGAUAAGCCCUUACGGGGAAAGAUUUAUCGCCGAAAGAUCGGCCCGCGUCUGAUUAGCUAGUUGGUGAGGUAAUGGCUCACCAAGGCGACGAUCAGUAGCUGGUCUGAGAGGAUGAUCAGCCACAUUGGGACUGAGACACGGCCCAAACUCCUACGGGAGGCAGCAGUGGGGAAUAUGGACAAUGGGCGCAAGCCUGAUCCAGCCAUGCCGCGUGAGUGAUGAAGGCCCUAGGGUUGUAAAGCUCUUUGUGCGGGAAGAUAAUGACGGUACCGCAAGAAUAAGCCCCGGCUAACUUCGCGCCAGCAGCCGC
rnacentral:rRNA from 1 species